UGAAAUCUGGCUCUCGGGCCCGAGUUGUAAUUUGUAGAGGAUGCUUUUGGCAAGGUGCCUUCCGAGUUCCCUGGAACGGGACGCCAUAGAGGGUGAGAGCCCCGUCUGGUUGGACACCGAGCCUCUGUAAAGCUCCUUCGACGAGUCGAGUAGUUUGGGAAUGCUGCUCUAAAUGGGAGGUAUAUGUCUUCUAAAGCUAAAUACUGGCCAGAGACCGAUAGCGCACAAGUAGAGUGAUCGAAAGAUGAAAAGCACUUUGAAAAGAGAGUUAAAAAGCACGUGAAAUUGUUGAAAGGGAAGCGCUUAUGACCAGACUUGGGCUUGGUUGAUCAUCCGGCGUUCUCGCCGGUGCACUCUUCCAGUUCAGGCCAGCAUCAGUUUGCCCCGGGGGAUAAAAGCUUCGGGAAUGUGGCUCCUCCGGGAGUGUUAUAGCCCGUUGCAUAAUACCCUGGGGCAGACUGAGGACCGCGCUUCGUGCAAGGAU
rnacentral:rRNA from 1 species